rnacentral:rRNA from 2 species
GAUUGAACGCUGGCGGCAGGCCUAACACAUGCAAGUCGAACGGUAACAGGAAGAAGCUUGCUUCUUUGCUGACGAGUGGCGGACGGGUGAGUAAUGUCUGGGAAACUGCCUGAUGGAGGGGGAUAACUACUGGAAACGGUAGCUAAUACCGCAUAACGUCGCAAGACCAAAGAGGGGGACCUUAGGGCCUCUUGCCAUCGGAUGUGCCCAGAUGGGAUUAGCUAGUAGGUGGGGUAAAGGCUCACCUAGGCGACGAUCCCUAGCUGGUCUGAGAGGAUGACCAGCCACACUGGAACUGAGACACGGUCCAGACUCCUACGGGAGGCAGCAGUGGGGAAUAUUGCACAAUGGGCGCAAGCCUGAUGCAGCCAUGCCGCGUGUAUGAAGAAGGCCUUCGGGUUGUAAAGUACUUUCAGCGGGGAGGAAGGUGUUGUGGUUAAUAACCACAGCAAUUGACGUUACCCGCAGAAGAAGCACCGGCUAACUCCGUGCCAGCAGCCGCGGUAAUACGGAGGGUGCAAGCGUUAAUCGGAAUUACUGGGCGUAAAGCGCACGCAGGCGGUCUGUCAAGUCGGAUGUGAAAUCCCCGGGCUCAACCUGGGAACUGCAUUCGAAACUGGCAGGCUUGAGUCUCGUAGAGGGGGGUAGAAUUUCCAGGUGUAGCGGUGAAAUGCGUAGAGAUCUGGAGGAAUACCGGUGGCGAAGGCGGCCCCCUGGACGAAGACUGACGCUCAGGUGCGAAAGCGUGGGGAGCAAACAGGAUUAGAUACCCUGGUAGUCCACGCCGUAAACGAUGUCUAUUUGGAGGUUGUGCCCUUGAGGUGUGGCUUCCGGAGCUAACGCGUUAAAUAGACCGCCUGGGGAGUACGGCCGCAAGGUUAAAACUCAAAUGAAUUGACGGGGGCCCGCACAAGCGGUGGAGCAUGUGGUUUAAUUCGAUGCAACGCGAAGAACCUUACCUGGUCUUGACAUCCACAGAACUUUCCAGAGAUGGAGGGGUACCUUCGGGAACUGUGAGACAGGUGCUGCAUGGCUGUCGUCAGCUCGUGUUGUGAAAUGUUGGGUUAAGUCCCGCAACGAGCGCAACCCUUAUCCUUUGUUGCCAGCGGUUAGGCCGGGAACUCAAAGGAGACUGCCAGUGAUAAACUGGAGGAAGGUGGGGAUGACGUCAAGUCAUCAUGGCCCUUACGACCAGGGCUACACACGUGCUACAAUGGCGCAUACAAAGAGAAGCGAACUCGCGAGAGCAAGCGGACCUCAUAAAGUGCGUCGUAGUCCGGACUGGAGUCUGCAACUCGACUCCAUGAAGUCGGAAUCGCUAGUAAUCGUGGAUCAGAAUGCCACGGUGAAUACGUUCCCGGGCCUUGUACACACCGCC